rnacentral:rRNA from 1 species
AUUGAACGCUGGCGGCAUGCCUUACACAUGCAAGUCGAACGGCAGCACGGGGCAACCUGGUGGCGAGUGGCGAACGGGUGAGUAAUGCAUCGGAGCGUACCUUUCAGUGGGGGAUAACGUAGCGAAAGUUACGCUAAUACCGCAUAUUCUGUGAGCAGGAAAGCAGGGGAUCGCAAGACCUUGCGCUGAUUGAGCGGCCGAUGUCAGAUUAGCUAGUUGGUGAGGUAAAGGCUCACCAAGGCGACGAUCUGUAGCGGGUCUGAGAGGAUGAUCGGCCGCACGGGAACUGAGGAACGGUCCAGACUCCUACGGGAGGAAGCAGUGGGGAAUUUUGGACAAUGGGGGCAACCCUGAUCCAGCCAUGCCGCGUGAGUGAAGAAGGCCUUCGGGUUGUAAAGCUCUUUCGGCCGGGAAGAAAUCGCACGGGCUAAUACCCUGUGUGGAUGACGGUACCGGAAUAAGAAGCACCGGCUAACUACGUGCCAGCAGCCGCCGUAAAAC